GGCCCCCUAGCUCAGUGGAUUAGAGCGUGUGAUUCCAGUCCACAAGGUCAUCCGUUCGACUCGGGUGGGGGUCA
rnacentral:tRNA from 1 species